UACGUAGGGUGCAAGCGUUAAUCGGAAUUACUGGGCGUAAAGCGUGCGCAGGCGGUUUUGUAAGUUUGUCGUGAAAGCCCCGGGCUCAACCUGGGAAUUGCGAUGAAGACUGCAAGGCUUGAAUCUGGCAGAGGGGGGUAGAAUUCCACGUGUAGCAGUGAAAUGCGUAGAGAUGUGGAGGAACACCGGAUGGCGAAGGCAGCCCCUGGGUCAAGAUUGACGCUCAUGCACGAAAGCGUGGGGAGCAAACAGG
rnacentral:rRNA from 1 species